rnacentral:rRNA from 1 species
UGGGGAAUAUUGCGCAAUGGGCGAAAGCCUGACGCAGCAACACCGCGUGAGGGAUGACGGCCUUCGGGUUGUAAACCUCUUUCAGCUCCGACGAAGCGAAAGUGACGGUAGGAGCAGAAGAAGCACCGGCUAACUACGUGCCAGCAGCCGCGGUAAUACGUAGGGUGCAAGCGUUGUCCGGAAUUAUUGGGCGUAAAGAGCUCGUAGGCGGUCCGUUGCGUCUGCCGUGAAAACCCGGAGCUCAACUCCGGGCCUGCGGUGGAUACGGGCGGACUAGAGUCCGGUAGGGGAGACUGGAAUUCCUGGUGUAGCGGUGGAAUGCGCAGAUAUCAGGAGGAACACCGGUGGCGAAGGCGGGUCUCUGGGCCGGAACUGACGCUGAGGAGCGAAAGCGUGGGGAGCGAACAGGAUUAGAUACCCUGGUAGUCCACGCCGUAAACGGUGGGCGCUAGGUGUGGGAUCGUUUCCACGAUCUCCGUGCCGUAGCUAACGCAUUAAGCGCCCCGCCUGGGGAGUACGGCCGCAAGGCU